GAGUUUGAUCGUGGCUCAGGAUGAACGCUGGCGGCGUGCCUAACACAUGCAAGUCGAACGAAGCACAUUGGAUUGAUUCUUCGGAAGAAAGAGAAUGUGACUGAGUGGCGGACGGGUGAGUAACGCGUGGGUAACCUGCCUCAUACAGGGGGAUAACAGUUAGAAAUGACUGCUAAUACCGCAUAAGACCACGGAGUCGCAUGACUCAGUGGGAAAAACUCCGGUGGUAUGAGAUGGACCCCGCGUCUG
rnacentral:rRNA from 1 species